rnacentral:rRNA from 1 species
UGCAUAUCAAUAAGCGGAGGAAAAGAAACUAACAAGGAUUCCCCUAGUAACUGCGAGUGAAGCGGGAAGAGCUCAAAUUUGAAAUCUGGCGGCUCCGCCGUCCGAGUUGUAAUCUGGAGAAGCGUUUUCCGUGCCGGACCGUGUACAAGUCCCUUGGAACAGGGCGUCAUAGAGGGUGAGAAUCCCGUCUUUGACACGGACUCCCGGUGCUCUGCGAUGCGCUCUCGAAGAGUCGAGUUGUUUGGGAAUGCAGCUCAAAAUGGGUGGUAAAUUCCAUCUAAAGCUAAAUAUUGGCGAGAGACCGAUAGCGAACAAGUACCGUGAGGGAAAGAUGAAAAGCACUUUGGAAAGAGAGUAAAACAGUACGUGAAAUUGUUGAAAGGGAAACGCUUGGAGUCAGUCGCGUCUUCUGGAACUCAGCCUUGCUUCUGCUAGGUGCACUUUCCAGUUUGACGGGUCAGCAUCGGCUUUGGGAGGCGGACAAAGGCGCGGGGAAGGUGGCAGCUCCGGCUGUGUUAUAGCCCCGCGUUGUACGCGUCUCCCGGGACCGAGGAAUCCGGCGCUCGUCGCCUGGGAUGCUGGCGUAAUGGCUUUAAGCGACCCGUCUUGAAACACGGACCA